CGCGGCCUAUCAGCUUGUUGGUGAGGUAACGGCUCACCAAGGCAUCGACGGGUAGCUGGUCUGAGAGGACAAUCAGCCACACUGGGACUGAGACACGGCCCAGACUCCUACGGGAGGCAGCAGUAGGGAAUCUUGCGCAAUGGGCGAAAGCCUGACGCAGCAACGCCGCGUGGGGGAUGAAUGCCUUCGGGUUGUAAACCCCUUUCAGCAGGGACGAAAAUGACGGUACCUGCAGAAGAAGCUCCGGCCAACUACGUGCCAGCAGCCGCGGUAAUACGUAGGGAGCGAGCGUUGUCCGGAAUUAUUGGGCGUAAAGAGCUCGUAGGCGGUUCAGUAAGUCGGGUGUGAAAACUCAAGGCUCAACCUUGAGACGCCACUCGAUACUGCUGUGACUUGAGUCCGGUAGAGGAGUGUGGAAUUCCUGGUGUAGCGGUGAAAUGCGCAGAUAUCAGGAGGAACACCAGCGGCGAAGGCGGCACUCUGGGCCGGUACUGACGCUGAGGAGCGAAAGCAUGGGGAGCAAACAGGAUUAGAUACCCUGGUAGUCCAUGCCGUAAACGUUGGGCACUAGGUAUGGGAUCAUAUCAACGGAUUCCGUGCCGUAGCUAACGCAUUAAGUGCCCCGCCUGGGGAGUACGG
rnacentral:rRNA from 1 species